AUACGUAGGUCCCGAACGUUGCGCGAAAUUACUGGGCGUAAAGGGUCCGUAGGCGGUCUGGUAAGUGGAAGGUGAAAGCCUGGGGCUCAACUCCAGAAUUGCCUUCCAAACUGCCGGGCUUGAGGCAGGGAGAGGUCGGCGGAAUUCCCGGUGUAGUGGUGAAAUGCGUAGAUAUCGGGAGGAACACCAGUGGCGAAGGCGGCCGACUGGAACUGUCCUGACGCUGAGGGACGAAAGCCAGGGGAGCGAACCGAAUUAGAAACCCUAGUAGUCC
rnacentral:rRNA from 1 species